rnacentral:rRNA from 1 species
GGGAUCGAAGGAAAAAAAGAUAAGAAAAAGAAAUCAGAGAUAUAUCAGGACGGUAAAGAAAAUAUUCCAAUCCUCCCAAAGUAUAUAGCCUACCCUGUAGAUUCGGCGGGACCGCCAACAGUCCCCCUCCCCAGGAGGGGAGGGGGCCGCCGGCCGCCGGGGGGCUACCCUGCCCCCGGGCCCGUGCCCGCCGGGGACACCAACACUGAACACUGUCUGAAGGUUGCAGUCUGAGUUUUCAUAAAGAAAAAUUGUUAAAACUUUCAACAACGGAUCUCUUGGUUCCGGCAUCGAUGAAGAACGCAGCGAAAUGCGAUACGUAAUGUGAAUUGCAGAAUUCAGUGAAUCAUCGAGUCUUUGAACGCACAUUGCGCCCUCUGGUAUUCCGGGGGGCAUGCCUGUCCGAGCGUCAUUGCUGCCCUCAAGCACGGCUUGUGUGUUGGGCCCCCGUCCCGGUUAAGCAUCAGCCCCGGGACGGGCCCGAAAGGCGGCGGCGGCACCGUGUCCGGUCCUCGAGCGUAUGGGGCUCUGUCACCCGCUCGUGUAGGUCCGGCCGGCGGUCAGCCCGACCCUUUAACCAAUCUUUUAACCAGGUUGACCUCGGAUCAGGUAGGGAUAUCCGCUGAACUUAAGCAUAUCAAUAAGCGGAGGAAAAGAA